rnacentral:rRNA from 1 species
GACGAACGCUGGCGGCGUGCCUAAUACAUGCAAGUCGAACGAAGCUGUUUUAACUGGUGCUUGCACCGACUUAAACAACUGAGUGGCGAACGGGUGAGUAACACGUGGGUAACCUGCCCCAAAGCGGGGGAUAACAUUUGGAAACAGAUGCUAAUACCGCAUAACCACAGAAACCACAUGGUUUCUGUGUCAAAGAUGGUUUCGGCUAUCACUUUGGGAUGGACCCGCGGCGUAUUAGCUAGUUGGUAAGGUAAUGGCUUACCAAGGCAAUGAGACGUAACGGAACUGAGAGGUUGGUCGGCCACAUUGGGACUGAGACACGGCCCAAACUCCUACGGGAGGCAGCAGUAGGGAAUCUUCCACAAUGGACGAAAGUCUGAUGGAGCAGCGCCGCGUGAGUGAAGAAGGUUUUCGGAUCGUAAAACUCUGUUGUCAGAGAAGAACGUGUGCGAGAGUAACUGCUCGUGCAGUGACGGUAUCUGGCCAGAAAGCCACGGCUAACUACGUGCCAGCCGCCGCCGUAA